rnacentral:rRNA from 1 species
GAUGAACGCUGGCGGCGUGCCUAAUACAUGCAAGUCGAACGCGAUCGGAGGGAGCUUGCUCCCUCUGAUCGAGUGGCGGACGGGUGAGUAACACGUAGGCAACCUGCCCAUCAGCCGGGGAUAACUGCGGGAAACCGUGGCUAAUACCGGAUAAUCCUCUCCACCGCGGGGUGGGGAGUUGAAAGACGGUUUCGGCUGUCGCUGAUGGAUGGGCCUGCGGCGCAUUAGCUGGUUGGCGGGGUAACGGCCCACCAAGGCAACGAUGCGUAGCCGACCGGCGAGGGUGAUCGGCCACACGGGGACUGAGACACGGCGCAGACUCCUACGGGAGGCAGCAGUAGGGAAUCUUCCGCAAUGGACGCAAGUCUGACGGAGCAACGCCGCGUGAGUGAAGAAGGGUUUCGGCUCGUAAAACUCUGUUGUUAAGGAAGAACGCCAGGUAGAGUAACUGCUACCUGUGUGACGGUACUUAACCAGAAAGCCACGGCUAACUACGUGCCAGCCGCCGCAGUAA